ACAAAAUCAAGGAAUGUCCUCAUGCUUUUACACACACAUUAAUUUUUUAAGUUUGGGAGGCAGGAAGAAUUUUUACCAUUAAAUAAGUAUUAGUGAACAUUUCUGUUUUUUAAAAAUGUAACAAUAUUAAUUUAAUGUAAUAAUGUUUGGUCAAAACUAAAAUCACUAUUUCAAAGAUGAAUCUAGCACUGAUUCUCGAGGUGCAGGUUUUGAGUUUUAUGUGCAUAAACCACCCUGUGAAUAUUUCUUUGUAUAUGAAAGUAAUAUAUAAUCAUUGAAAAUAUUAGUUUUAAAUUUAAAAGCAAUCAUAGAAAGGGUUUGUUAUGAAACAUUUACAUUUGUUUAGAUUUGGCUAAAGUUGUGUCAGAAGAAAAUACUUCUAUUUAUUUUGAGAAUAAAGCUACAUCUUUUAAUUUCAAAAACUAAGUAUUCUCUCAAUAGUGUAAAUAACCACACUGUUACCAGGCACCUCCUUAACUGCU
rnacentral:lncRNA from 1 species